GACGAACGCUGGCGGCGUGCCUAACACAUGCAAGUCGAACGGAAAGUCCCUGAUUUUGUGGGGUGCUCGAGUGGCGAACGGGUGAGUAACACGUGAGUAACCUGUCCUUGACUUUGGGGUAAGUUCAGGAAACUGGGUCUAAUACCGGAUAGGAGUUCCCGCUGCAUGGUGGGGGUGGGAAAGUUUCGGCGGUUGGGGAUGGACUCGCGGCUUAUCAGCUUGUUGGUGGGGUAGUGGGUUACCAAGGCUUUGACGGGUAGCCGACCUGGGAGGGUGACCGGCCACAUGGCGACUGAGAUACGGCCCAGACUCGUACGGGAGGCAGAGGUGGGGAGUAUUGCACAAUGGGCGGGAGCCUGAUGCGGCAACGCCGCGUGCGGGAUGACGGCCUGCGGGUAGUGAACCGCAGCCGCCUGUGACGAAGCGUUAGUGACGGUAACGGGAGAAUAAGCACCGGCUAACUACGUG
rnacentral:rRNA from 1 species